rnacentral:rRNA from 1 species
AUGGAGCAAUUGAAGAGGAUGGAUGCUGCAGAACAGCAAAUUAAAGAGCUGCAUGAAGAUCUUAAUCAGAGAUUUGACCAGCUGGUUGAGAUGAUAAGAAAGGGUGUCCACCCUGCUACCAAUGAAGGAGAUUCAUCUAAAGAAGGAAGGAGAUGUUCAUCAAAGAAGAAGAUGUUCAUCAAAGAAGAAGAAGAUGUUCAUCAAAGAAAGAGAGGUAAUCUUGGAGCAAGGCCGCCACAACAACAUGUUCAACGUGCUUCAAGAAGGCAAUUUAUGCUGAAGCUUAUGAAGGUGAAGAAUAUGAUGAUGCCCUUGAAGAACCAGAUCUCUACGCAUAUCAAGAGUACCCAACCCUACAUAUGCAAGAGAUACAUACAAGGUGAAAGCUGA